ACGAACGCUGGCGGCGUGCUUAACACAUGCAAGUCGAACGGAAAGGCCCUGCUUUUGUGGGGUGCUCGAGUGGCGAACGGGUGAGUAACACGUGAGUAACCUGCCCUUGACUUUGGGAUAACUUCAGGAAACUGGGGCUAAUACCGGAUAGGAGCUCCUGCUGCAUGGUGGGGGUUGGAAAGUUUCGGCGGUUGGGGAUGGACUCGCGGCUUAUCAGCUUGUUGGUGGGGUAGUGGCUUACCAAGGCUUUGACGGGUAGCCGGCCUGAGAGGGUGACCGGCCACAUUGGGACUGAGAUACGGCCCAGACUCCUACGGGAGGCAGCAGUGGGGAAUAUUGCACAAUGGGCGGAAGCCUGAUGCAGCAACGCCGCGUGCGGGAUGACGGCCUUCGGGUUGUAAACCGCUUUCGCCUGUGACGAAGCGUGAGUGACGGUAAUGGGUAAAGAAGCACCGGCUAGCUACGGG
rnacentral:rRNA from 1 species